rnacentral:tRNA from 1 species
GCCGGGGUGGCGGAACUGGCAGACGCGGCCGACUUAAAAUCGGCCGGCCUCGCGGCCGUGCGGGUUCGACUCCCGCCCCCGGCA